CGCACCUUGCGCUCCUUGGUAUUCCGAGGAGCAUGCCUGUUUGAGUGUCUUGAAGUCAUCAACCCCUCCGGUUUUUCGAAACGGGAGACGGUUGGAUAUGGGGGUUUGCUGCCGAAAGGCUGCUCCCCUCAAAUGCGUCGGUUGGACCUGUGGGUCGAACUCGUUGGGCGUUGUAUCAUCCUCGCUCUGACAGAGAUGUUCCCCUUUGGUUGUCCUUCCCCGACUUGCCGACAGAGUGGCAGUCAACUCUUUGAAAUCUGACCUCAAAUCAGGUAGGACUACCCGCUGAACUUAA
rnacentral:misc_RNA from 1 species